rnacentral:rRNA from 1 species
GAUGAACGCUAGCUACAGGCUUAACACAUGCAAGUCGAGGGGCAGCAUGAACAUAGCUUGCUAUGUUUGAUGGCGACCGGCGCACGGGUGCGUAACACGUAUCCAAUCUGCCCGUUACUCGGGGAUAGCCUUCUGAAAGGAAGAUUAAUACCCGAUGGCAUUCAUUAGCGGCAUCGCUUAUGAAUUAAAGAUUAAUCGGUAACGGAUGAGGAUGCGUACGAUUAGCUUGUUGGCGGGGUAACGGCCCACCAAGGCUACGAUCGUUAGGGGUUCUGAGAGGAAGGUCCCCCACACUGGAACUGAGACACGGUCCAG